GAGGGGCGAGCGGAGGCUUGGAAGAGGACGGAGGAGAAGCGCAAAGAGUCAGAGUCUCCAUCUGCUAGAACCUCUAAUCUGGUUACUAUGGAAACAUGACCACAUAAAAAGGAAGUCCAUCCUGAUAAUUCUGAUACCUGAGAUGUAACUGGACUGAAGGGUAGAACAGGGAAAUUUUUAGUGCCAACCUUAAUUACAAUGGCUACUGAUUCAGGGGAGCCAGCUAGCACAGAAGAUUCAGAGAAACCUGAUGGAGUUUCACUGGAAAACAGAGUUCAUCAGAUGGCAGCCACUUUGACAGUGGAAGCUAGACUGAAGGAAAAUGACAGUACCAUCUCUGCUCGGGGGGAAACUGUCGAAAGGAAGAGAUUCUUCCGAACGAGUGUUGAUGACAAAGUUAUUGAUUCUUCCUCCAAAGAUGAGAAAACGAAGGCUACAACAGAGAUUCCAGGUGCAGAAAAGCUUCCUGCAAAUGUGCUAAGAGGUGAAAAAGAAGUCAAAUUCUCACAAUGUUCAAAGGCAACUUCCGAAUCCUCCAAAGAUUGUCUCAAGGAGAAAAAUGAAAAGGAAAUGGAAGAAGAAGCGGAAAUGAAGGCUGUAGCUACUUCUCCUAGUGGCAGGUUCCUGAAAUUCGACAUAGAGCUGGGAAGAGGAGCCUUUAAAACAGUGUAUAAAGGACUGGACACUGAAACAUGGGUUGAGGUUGCUUGGUGUGAGUUGCAGGAUCGGAAAUUAACCAAAGCUGAGCAGCAAAGAUUUAAGGAAGAAGCAGAGAUGUUAAAGGGUCUCCAACAUCCCAAUAUAGUUCGAUUUUAUGAUUCCUGGGAGUCUACAUUGAAAGGAAAGAAAUGCAUUGUAUUGGUGACUGAACUUAUGACAUCAGGAACAUUAAA